rnacentral:rRNA from 1 species
GACGUAGGGGGCAAGCGUUGUCCGGAAUCAUUGGGCGUAAAGCGCUCGUAGGUGGAUCGGUAAGUCUGCAAAGAAAGACCCGGGCUCAACUCGGGGAACGGUGUGGAUACUACCGAUCUUGAGGCAAUCAGAGGAUGAUGGAAUUCCCGGUGUAGCGGUGAAAUGCGUAGAUAUCCUAAGGAACACCGGUGGCGAAAGCGGCUCACUGGGUCUCUUCUGACGCUGAGGCACGAAAGCUAGGGUAGCGAACGGG